GGCGGCGUGCCUAACACAUGCAAGUCGAACGGGAAAGUGGAGCAAUCCAUGAGUAUAGUGGCGACCGGGUGAGUAACACGUGACUAACCUGCCCUUGAGUGGGGGAUAACCUCGGGAAACCGGGGCUAAUACCGCAUAACAUCUUCAGGAUGAGAAGCUGGGGAUCAAAGGAGCAAUCCGCUUAUGGAGGGGGUCGCGGCUGAUUAGCUAGUUGGCGGGGUAACGGCCCACCAAGGCGAUGAUCGGUAUCCGGCCUGAGAGGGCGCACGGACACACUGGAACUGAAACACGGUCCAGACUCCUACGGGAGGCAGCAGUGGGGAAUUUUGCGCAAUGGGGGAAACCCUGACGCAGCAACGCCGCGUGGAGGAUGAAGUCCCUUGGGACGUAAACUCCUUUCGACCGGGACGAUUAUGACGGUACCGGUGGAAGAAGCCCCGGCUAACUUCGUGCCAGCAGCCGCGGUAAUACGAGGGGGGCGAGCGUUGUUCGGAAUUAUUGGGCGUAAAGGGCGCGUANGCGGUGCGGUAAGUCACCUGUGGAAACUCUGGGCUCA
rnacentral:rRNA from 1 species